rnacentral:lncRNA from 1 species
UGUGACCUGCAAGGAAACAGAAAGCCCUUGCUGAGACAGAGGCUGAAGGAGCAGUAAGGAGCAGUAGGAUCUGAAUUGCCCAGCACAUGGGCACAGUUGAGCACCUCAGCUCUGCUAAAUGUCAGACCAUGUGCCUGGGAAGAAGCAAUGCUGGCUGCAUGGGGACAGGAGGGAGCUGGUCAGACGUGUAACCUCGUCCUGAGGGCUGCUGGUCAGAACUAGAGGCAUGCAGAGUCCUGAGUGAUGUUUGUGGGCUUUAGGAGCUGCUUUUGGCACGUCACAAGGCAUUCUCUGCUGCCCCUGCUCUGAGCCUUGCUGCCAUGACAUGUCAUUGCCUACAGCUGCUCACCCAUGUGACAUACAUGCACUUGACAUGUAAAUGACAAACUGGAGACUGUGCAGGAAAUGACUACCAGCAUGAGUCAAGAGUGGGAAAUCUGCCAAAGAGUACAAGAGUGAAGGAGCUCAAGCUGCUUGGCAUGUCUGGGGAGUGAACUGGUGGCAGCCUUUGCCCCUGUGCUGGUGCUCACUGCCAUCUCUGCUCUCUGGCAAGUGCUGAAGAGCAUCAACACUAGUCAGGGUUGAUCUGUGCAGAGCACAAAUGCUUAGAUUGGCCUUAUUUCCUUUGUCUUGGACACCCUGGAGAUGCCCAGCAUUGCAGGCAGUCCAGACAGUGACCUUUCCACCUCUAAUGGGAGUAGUCAGUCUGUGUCUUGCUCCCAGGGAGCUCAGGGUCAAGUUUGUUGGGAUGCUUAGAGGCCUGUAGCAUAUGGAAAGCUCUUCUCUGUGCCUCUUUCCUGCUGGCCCCAGAGCCUCCUGCUGAUGGGGAGGGUUUGCCAGGAUGGCUCUGGUGUGCACAUCCUCGCUAGCAGCACAAAGGAGCUGCCAACAAAUGGGUCUGUCUGGAUAGAGUAGAUCUAGCUUGGGACUGUGCAAAAUUGUCUCCGCUCAUAGGUUUUCCAUCCACUGGAGGCUUCCUGCUGGAGAUGGAGUUUGCCCUUCUCCUCCUGGCUGAAAUAAGAUCCGCCCUUUCUGGUUCUCUCCACACUGUUGUCUCCAGGACUUUUCCAGCUCUAGGAUGGUGUCUGGUCCUGGAUGCAGGACAUUCCCACUCUGGACUGUCCUCAAUGGGAGUGGACAAAACUCUCCUGGUACCAAGGUGAGCAGUCCACUAGUGUUCACUUCAAAACCCCAUGCUCAUCCAAGCUGUAAAUGCUUCAGCCACUGUUAUUUCUACCAGG